AGGAGAAUGAAUGCUGCAGCGAAUACUUGACCUUGUUUACAUACAGUGACUUCGCAGAGCCGAGCACGAGCCGAGCGUCAUUCGGGCUUUUCCGGAAAGAAUGAUGCGGAAUGAAAGCGGCGCCAUGUUUAUUGUGGCCCAAAAUAAGCUCCAGCUGUGCUGCUGCUGUGGACAGAAGACAAGCCUCUGUGGUGCCUCUCAUUAGGACAUCACUGAAGACAAGAGAGACUCUACAGGAGCUGAAGUUAGGCUUUAAACCGCUUCCAGGCAUUCACAGCUCAUUUGGUUGCAGGAGAAACAUCUGAGGCAGGGCUGAUCCUUAAUGUGACUUAACUGAGAACUGGAGUCCUUGAAGAAUGGAAGUAUGAAGUAUGAAAGUCUUACCAUGUCAGGAUGAGAUUCCUGAAGAGCCCUCAUUUUGCAGCAGAGAGGAACCUUCCGGUACAGGAUCAACAGCAGCACCACGAUCAUGAAGAAAAACACCAGACAACAAACUGAAAAAGACCACAGACAACACUCAUCGCUCAGAUCUGUAACCUCGAGAUUUGGAAAUGUAGGCACUAUUUAUAUU